rnacentral:piRNA from 1 species
UCCUACUCUCUGAAGUUGGGUACGCAAUC